rnacentral:rRNA from 1 species
AUUGAACGCUGGCGUCAGGCCUAACACAUGCAAGUCGAGCGGCGCGGCGGCCGGGUGCGUAAUGCCUAGGUAUCUGCCUGUUAGUGGGGGAUAACGUCCGGAAACGGGCGCUAAUACCGAAUACUAUCAGAUGAGCCUAGGGCGGAUUAGCUAGUUGGGGGGGUAAAGGCCUACCAUGGCACCGAUCCGGCACUGGUCUGAGAGGAUGAGCAGUCACACUGGAACUGAGACACGGUCCAGACUCCUACGGGAGGCAGCAGUGGGGAAUAUUGGACAAGGGGCGAAAGCCUGAUCCAGCCAUGCCGCGUGUGUGAAGAAGGUCUUCGGAUUGUAAAGCACUUUAAGUUGGGAGGCGUUACCAACAGAAUAAGCACCGGCUAACUUCGUGCCAGCAGCCGCGGUAAUUC